rnacentral:rRNA from 1 species
CAGCAGCCGCGGUAACACGUAGGUGGCAAGCGUUGUCCGGAAUUAUUGGGCGUAAAGGGCUCGCAGGCGGUUUCUUAAGUCUGAUGUGAAAGCCCCCGGCUCAACCGGGGAGGGUCAUUGGAAACUGGGAAACUUGAGUGCAGAAGAGGAGAGUGGAAUUCCACGUGUAGCGGUGAAAUGCGUAGAGAUGUGGAGGAACACCAGUGGCGAAGGCGACUCUCUGGUCUGUAACUGACGCUGAGGAGCGAAAGCGUGGGGAGCGAACAGGAUUAGAUACCCCGGUAGUCCCUGUCUCUUAUAU